rnacentral:misc_RNA from 1 species
GAUGAAGAACGUAGCGAAGUGCGAUAAGUAGUGUGAAUUGCAGAAUUCAGUGAAUCAUCGAAUCUUUGAACGCACAUUGCGCCUUCUAGUAUUCUGGGAGGCAUGCCUGUUUGAGCGUCAUUAAACCUCUCUCAAGUAUGAUUACUUGGAUGUGAAGGAAGAGUACCUUAAACUUAAGGAGUGUUCUCCUUUGAAAUUGAUUAGCAGAUGGUAAUGUUAUUAAAUCCCUGAUGUUGUAAGAAAUAACAGUGGUUUUGUAGACUAUUAUCUAGCUUUAAAUUAUAAUUUUUAUUAUGGUUGACCUCAAAUCAGGUAAGGAUACCCGCUGAACUUAAGCAUAUCAAUAAGCGGAGGA